CCAAGGUUGUGCCUUGGGGUCUGCGGCCAGGCGGGCUUAGCCUCUUUUUAAAAAAAAAAAAAAGAAAGAAAAAGUGGUCUGUCAAUUUGUGAACAAACCGAACAAUAGAAUCAAAAUGAGUUUGGGAUCAAAGCGGAAGGCUCGGGACUGACCUAAAAUGGUUAGCACCCGGGCAGCUUUGGUGGCCACUCGGGACUCUAGGGGCCAGGAGUACAGAAGCCUCCUCAUGCCUGCCUCUCUAGACAAUUGUGCCCCCAUUCCCCUCUCUAAAAAGGCAAAAACUAAGACUAAAAAUGUUGGCCCAGCAGUUUCUGUGCUUACAAGGACCCGGAAGUUGUCAACUUUCCUAUAGGCUAAAAGGGAUCGGUACCACGUUUUUUCCCCUCAAGUACGAGAGAAUUGGACCAGGCAGCCUGGAACCCACCUGGUCCAAUGUAAUGUGUAUUUCAGGCUGCGGACAAUCGGUGCUGCCGGACUUGAAGCUCCAAUUCCACAUUGCAAGAGAUGCAAAAACUUUCAAUUGCACAAUGAGAGCUGUGGUGUAAGGAGAAACCUGGAACUGAAUGAGAAUCUGGAACCCAGAAAGGAUUUUCUCCAAAUUAGGCCCUCCUCGUUUGCCCAGUGGCUGUGAAACACAGAACCAGCUCCAGCAUCCCUCAUUCCAAGCAGAGACUGCACAUUCCCAGGGAAGAAGACUGAACAAGGACACACAGAUUGGAGAGCAGGGAGAAUGUUCUCUCCUUUUACUAAGGCGCAUAGUGUGUUGGGAUACAUGGACUAGACCCAAGAGCAAGAGAGCAACCUAUUAUAAUCCAAAGAGUGAGCUGCAAAAUGUGGCACAGAGAUAUGGAGCGGUGGCUGAAGGAGAGGGAAGCGCCUGCAGGGCGAACCUCAGCCCCUUGGGCAGAUGCAUUUUCCAGUCUCCUUUGAAUGUCAGAACAAACAGCUCUAAGAUAAUUUCCUGCGUUUGCUCCUUCCUCCUUCCCUCCCCCCCCACCAAGGGCCAGAUCAUGUCUUUCAGGCCCAAGGGAUCUCAAGAAGGGCUUUUGUCAGGUUCUAUCCUAGCAAUAGAGGGGAAUGACCCAAGCCCUGAGUUAUGCCCCUGCACACGUUUCCCACAAAGGCAAAACAGCAGAUAUCCAGCAGGGCUCUCUGGAGUGAGACCCGGAGCUAGGAGUUUAAGCAAAAGGGCAACUCUGUCAGUUGACGGAAGCCAGAAGCAAAGUUCAAAGCCUGGCCUGGAUUUCCAUCUGGAGUGGUCUGUUCCUUAAAAGUUUGCAACUCGGUGCAAAGAAGCAGCCCCAGUGGAGGCUUCAGGAUCAAUGUGAAAGUCUAGCACUACCAUCUGACAGAGAGCUGGAAAACUUUGGGCUGCAUAUUAAGAGAGGAAAGUGGAUUGAAGUGAGAGUCAAGGCAAUUCAUUAUGUUUCCAGCUUCUAAGUGGGAGUGGCAAAAUGCGAACUGGAGUAGUAGAGGAGAAAGUGGAAUGGAGCCUGAAUUGUACUCCACACAUCUUCCUCAGUUACUGUGUACCUGACAAGGCCAGAAAUCCCAAAGGAGCCCGCCAGGAGGUUUAAAGCACACCCAGGGCACUACCAUCUCACAGAUUUAUGCCACAGGACUCAGAGAAGUGACACCUGGGAGCAAAGUCAAGAAACACUCUAAGAAUCCUGAAUUUUAAAAGGCCACAUUUUACUCACAAAAGGAGGGAUUGCUUCUUUGGUAUCUGGUACUAAAACAAGGUGACAAGAUUCUCCUGAAAUUACCACAAAAGGCAUUAUAGUCUAAUACUGCCUGGUAACAAAGCUGAGCCCUUGAAAACAACCUGGCAUUCAGAGCUGCUAAUGGUACUAACAUUCUCACCAACAUAUUCAUGUAUUUUCCAUAGAUACACAUACUAUACAUCCACAUAUGGGGUCCCCAGACAUCUCACUGGUAGCUUUCUGUCUAUUCUUUUAGAAAAGGCAGAGUAAACCCAUUAAUAAAAAACAUGGACUGGAGUUUUAUGAAACCA
rnacentral:lncRNA from 1 species